rnacentral:lncRNA from 7 species
CCAAGAAAAUAAAUAAAUUAAAGCUCUUGUUAUUGGCCCACAGAAGGAAAGAAUGUACUGUCCUGUUUGAAACAAAUGAACCAGACAUGCAUUUCCAUCAGCAACCCACUUGGUCAACAAAGGAGGUCCAGCAUGUUCUAGAGAUAAAUUGCGUCGAUUCAAGAAACUAGAACAUUAACCGCCACGGCAAAGUGCAGAGUUAAAAUGUUGCUUAAUAUACCCAUUGGCAUUUGGACAUCAUGACUUCAGUUGAUCAAAUGCCGUCAGAAGACUGGUCUUGUAAGUUU